rnacentral:rRNA from 1 species
CCUACGGGUGGCAGCAGUGGGGGAUAUUGCACAAUGGGGGGAACCCUGAUGCAGCGACGCCGCGUGGGUGAAGGAGUAUUUCGGUAUGUAAAGCCCUAUCGGCAGGGAAGAAAUUGGACGGUACCUGACUAAGAAGCCCCGGCUAACUACGUGCCAACAGCCGCGGUAAUACGUAGGGGGCAAGCGUUAUCCGGAUUCACUGGGUGUAAAGGGAGCGUAGACGGCCAUGCAAGCCAGGGGUGAAAGCCCGGGGCCCAACCCCGGGACUGCCCUUGGAACUGCAUGGCUGGAGUGCGGGAGGGGCAGGCGGAAUUCCUGGUGUAGCGGUGAAAUGCGUAGAUAUCAGGAGGAACACCGGCGGCGAAGGCGGCCUGCUGGACCGCGACUGACGUUGAGGCUCGAAAGCGUGGGGAGCGAACAGGAUUAGAUACCCUAGUAGUC